rnacentral:rRNA from 1 species
GACGAACGCUGGCGGCGUGCUUAACACAUGCAAGUCGAACGGAAAGGCCCUGCUUUUGUGGGGUGCUCGAGUGGCGAACGGGUGAGUAACACGUGAGUAACCUGCCCUUGACUUUGGGAUAACUUCAGGAAACUGGGGCUAAUACCGGAUAGGAGCUCCUGCUGCAUGGUGGUGGUUGGAAAGUUUCGGCGGUUGGGGAUGGACUCGCGGCUUAUCAGCUUGUUGGUGGGGUAGUGGCUUACCAAGGCUUUGACGGGUAGCCGGCCUGAGAGGGGGACCGGCCACAUUGGGACUGAGAUACGGCCCAGACUCCUACGGGAGGCAGCAGUGGGGAAUAUUGCACAAUGGGCGGAAGCCUGAUGCAGCAACGCCGCGUGCGGGAUGACGGCCUUCGGGUUGUAAACCGCUUUCGCAUGUGACGAAGCGUGAGUGACGGUAAUGGGUAAAGAAGCACCGGCUAACUACGUG